UACAGAGGAUGCAAGCGUUAUCCGGAAUGAUUGGGCGUAAAGCGUCUGUAGGCGGCUUUUUAAGUCCGCCGUCAAAUCCCAGGGCUCAACUCUGGACAGGCGGUGGAAACUACCAAGCUGGAGUCCGGUAGGGGCAGAGGGAAUUUCCGGUGGAGCGGUGAAAUGCGCAGAUAUCAGGAAGAACACCCGUGGCGAAGGCGGCUCUCUGGAACGCAACUGACGCUGAGACGCGAAAGCGUGGGGAGCAAACAGG
rnacentral:rRNA from 1 species